GUACAGAAUAACUGGAUAGGUGGAUAAUCUGUCGCCCAACGAACUGGUCUGUCUUUUCUGCAUGGCGAUGUUGAGUGCGCGGGUUGGAGACAAUAUUAAUUGAUUUCUUUUUUGGUCUUUUUCCGUAAUAAAACAUAUCGUGGCCUGAAGCAAACUUCAGCACAAUGGCAGCAGCGUUACAUGGUGGUUUGAAUACGUGAGUGAACACAUCGUAACCACAACAUACAAUCUCCGUACUUUUUCAGGAUGUGCAGCUAUGAUGAAGAUGCAGCAGCCCCAUUUCCCAUCGGAGGACUCUCUAGAGCUGUACCAUAUUCACUUGUGGAACUGACUUUUCAACACUACUGCUUUUAGGAGUGUGAAGUAUGAGUAACGAAGUCCAUGGAACAGAGUCCCUCUUGAGGAGAUAUAAUCUUGACUGGUCAGGAAAUUUUCUGCCUGGUAUGGAACUCAGGUUCAAACUUUUGACAUUCUACUCUUCAGUUCCCAAAAUUAUUUGCAUGAAUGUGAGUAAUUUUAUUUGUGACAGUUUUUAUUUUUAGAAAUGUCUGUCAGUAUACAGUAUACAUUAAAUGACUGGGACUUGUCUAUAAAUAUGUAAUGCAAUUUGCCAUUGCUCGGUAUUACAACAGAAACUAGUUUUAAGUCUUUGCAGACAGUUUUUGCAAUAUUGUGGGUAGUUUUCUCACUUCAUGCUUGUGAUUUAAUAACAAAAAAAUCCAAAUAUAAACUGAGUUGAUGUUAAAAUAGUCCAAAUUUGGUUAAAUUCUUUCAUUCGCUUUAGUAUGUGCCAACACGAUUAAAGUUUAUUUAAUGACAAAAUACAGUGUUACAUGACUAUUUGUGUUCAUGCUUUGGUAUGUCUGCUGGCUACAGUUACAUUUUUCAAACGAUAUUGAGAAACUGUUGUAAAUGGAUGUAGACUGGCAUGGAUGUAACCUAUAAAUUAAUAUUGCAAAUG